rnacentral:rRNA from 1 species
CCUACGGGUGGCAGCAGUGGGGAAUAUUGCACAAUGGGGGAAACCCUGAUGCAGCGACGCCGCGUGAGUGAAGAAGUAUUUCGGUACGUAAAGCUCUAUCAGCAGGGAAGAAGAAAGACGGUACCUGACUAAGAAGCCCCGGCUAACUACGUGCCAGCAGCCGCGGGAAUACGUAGGGGGCAAGCGUUAUCCGGAUUUACUGGGUGUAAAGGGAGCGUAGACGGCUGUGCAAGUCUGAAGUGAAAGCCCAGGGCUCAACCCUGGGACUGCUUUGGAAACUGUGGAGCUAGAGUGCUGGAGAGGUAAGUGGAAUGCCUAGGGUAGCGGUGAAAUGCGUAGAUAUUAGGAGGAACACCAGUGGCGAAGGCGGCUUACUGGACAGUAACUGACGUUGAGGCUCGAAAGCGUGGGGAGCAAACAGGAUUAGAUACCCUUGUAGUC